UACGGGGGGGGCAAGCGUUGUUCGGAAUUACUGGGCGUAAAGGGCUCGUAGGUGGCCAACUAAGUCAGACGUGAAAUCCCUCGGCUUAACCGGGGAACUGCGUCUGAUACUGGAUGGCUUGAGUUCGGGAGAGGGAUGCGGAAUUCCAGGUGUAGCGGUGAAAUGCGUAGAUAUCUGGAGGAACACCGGUGGUGAAGGCGGCAUCCUGGACCGACAUUGACGCUGAUGCGCGAAAGCCAGGGGAGCAAACGGG
rnacentral:rRNA from 1 species